rnacentral:rRNA from 3 species
UGGGGAAUAUUGCACAAUGGAGGGAACUCUGAUGCAGCGACGCCGCGUGAACGAAGAAGGCUUUCGAGUCGUAAAGUUCUUUUAUAUGGGAAGAUAAUGACGGUACCAUAAGAAAAAGCCCCGGCUAACUACGUGCCAGCAGCCGCGGUAAUACGUAGGGGGCUAGCGUUGUCCGGAAUCACUGGGCGUAAAGGGUUCGCAGGCGGAAAUGCAAGUCAGGUGUAAAAGGCAGUAGCUUAACUACUGUAAGCAUUUGAAACUGCAUAUCUUGAGAAGAGGAGAGGUAAGUGGAAUUUUUAGUGUAGCGGUGAAAUGCGUAGAUAUUAAAAAGAAUACCGGUGGCGAAGGCGACUUACUGGGCUCAUUCUGACGCUGAGGAACGAAAGCGUGGGUAGCAAACAGG